CCCUUAGAUGUUCUGGGCCGCACGCGCGCUACACUGACGAAUGCAACGAGCUUAUAACCUUGGCCGAAAGGUCUGGGUAAUCUCCAAAUUUCGUCGUGAUGGGGAUAGAUUAUUGCAAUUAUUAAUCUUCAACGAGGAAUGCCCAGUAAGCGCAAGUCAUCAGCUUGCGUUGAUUACGUCCCUGCCCUUUGUACACACCGCCCGUCGCUCCUACCGAUUGAAUGGUCCGGUGAAGCGUUCGGACCGUGGCCUUUGGACGGUUCGCCGUCUGUUGGCUGCGGGAAGUUCGUUAAACCUUAUCAUUUAGAGGAAGGAGAANUCGUAACA
rnacentral:rRNA from 1 species